CUGCUUUCGAGGCCCUGCUCAAAAUACCGCUACUUGUGCUGACGCUGGGGCAGCUCUGGCGGAGGGUCGCAGCACCGAAAAAGCUCCUCCUGUCCUUGGAGAACAUGGGCAAUCACCUCCUUGCCAGGAGCUAGUGUCACACCUCUCUUGCCCCUGCCAGCUUCAGGUGUGGGUGCUGGUGUGUGGAGCAGGGACAGCUGUCCUACAGGGCUGAGUGGGGAGAGGGAGGAGCAUUUGGUUUGUGUGCUGCAGUGAGAGACUUACCACAAGCUGCUUCUUCUGCCUGAAUCGCACCGUGUGGUUGUAAACAUUGAUGAGAAUCUCUUUGAGAUUGUGUGCCUUGUACUGGAACUUUCUACUGUGAAAACUGAGGCCUUUUUGUGUUCAGUAAUAUUCCAUCAACAGCAUUGGCAGACCUGCUUGCCUUCCCCUGUGAAAAAGACUGGAAGCGCCACGGAAGAAAGACUGGACAGCCACAUCCUUCUUCCUUCUCCAGCCUUCAUGAAACAGUAAAUGAAGACCCGCUUGCGCAUACCUGUUGGAUUACACUUGUGUUUUCCAUUUUUGACCACACAGGUUUCUUGAGAUUCACAGCCAUAGUUCUGACAACUGAUGACACCAUUCUUCUGACACUGGCAUCUUCUGGCACAGUGUGGAGUUAUCCAAGUCUCCCCAGCCUGGACACAAGUUGUGUUAAUAAUAUGUUACCAAUGUGCUCAGCUUUACAAUACAGUAAGAGACCAACAGUGAAGGGUAUGGGGGCUGGCUAGGUGCAACCUGUCCUACUGGCUGUUCCACAACUGCCUUAUCCAGGCAUAGUCUCACCAAGAGCCUGGGAGGCAGGGAAUCUCAGGCCAUUUGUCCUAUUGACUGUCUUGAGAAUUUGGACACAAAACAGGACCAGGAUAGACUACCCAAAUUAUUCUGAUCAAAUUACUGGUUUCCAACCUGUCUCAAUUUUGGCUGCAUAUGCAAAGUAGCAAGCUUUUGCAGCUGCUAAUAACCGAGACUGCAGCUUUUUCUAACCAGAUGUAAGAUAACUAAAGAUUCAUCUUUCUCUCAUUUAGAUGGUCAGGAAGCCAAAUCCCCACAGGGACAAACUACUUACGCUGUAGUAAUUGUUGUCAUCAUCCCUGCAGCCACAAUUGCUCAGCGGUACACACUUGCCAUUACUGAGCACAUAAUUAUCAUCACACUCACAGCCCUCUGUGCACUCUUUUGUCUUCUCACAAAGGGAAGAAGCAAAAAUGUCAUUGCAUGUUGAUGGGCAGGGAGAUGCGCAGUCUGUGUAAUGGCUGUGGGAUGAGCAAGGCAAUGCUGUGUGGGUGAAGAAAAUAAAGUUAGUGUUAUUAAAUACAUUUAGAAACGGCACUGCAAACACAUAUGACUGCCUGAAACCUAGGACUUGAGCUGAAAAAUGGCAGUAUAGGAUUGCCUUUUAAUAGCUGAUUUUGAUCAUCCAGUUUUAAUUUUUGAUGAUUUUUUUUUUUUUUAAAUAGAGAACCAAUUUUGGAGCUGCUGAUUCACUUCUAUUACAGAUAUGUCUGAGCUGGUGGUACCUGGGGUAGACCAUUCAGAUUCACUAUUUCAGCUCAGCUGCAAAUGCCUCUGCAGGCACUGUUAAAAACGUGAAUCAUUAGGGCAAAUUCUUUAGAAUGCUCAGUCCUCUAGUGGUACAAGAUAUGUGUUAGUUAAGUUACGUUAGCUUAACCACAGAUAUAAACACAUACAAGAACAACAGGUAUGCAUGGUCAAACUAAAAGUUCAUCUAGCUCUAUAUCCUAUUUCCGCCAAUGACUAAAGAUGCAUAAGGAGACAGUUCAAGAAAUACAUUGGCAGAGAGUGUUCCUUUGUCCAGCAUUCUCCCCUACUUCUGGCAAGCAAGCACUUAGGAAUUUCUGAUGGACCUGUUCAACAUUCAUCUGGCUUGCUUUUUAACCAGUGAAAUGUUUUAGCUUCCAAAACAUCGCGUGGCAAUUAGUUCCACAAUAUAAUACUAAACUGUGAAAAAACAAAUACCAUGUAAUCUUUAUUAAUCUUUACUCAGUUAGUUUGUGGCUUUGUUGAACGGGUAGAAUGAGGCACGUACACUGGAGAUUUAUCAGAGAACCCAGCCCUUAAUAAGCAACUGGCCAAAUGGCCAGUCUUCAUUCAGAACACAGUGAGCAGUAUUGAGCCCUGUGUCCUAAUACAGUAUGCCAAUUUAUUCUAGUCUUCUUGUUAUAUAUUUCUCAAUUUUAGACUCAUUGCAAUAUCUCACAACAUCCAUUUGGCUACUAAAACUAUUCUAACUCCACAUUACUACCCACAGCUUGUCUAGUCAUGAGUUAUCACUGGAUUUAGUUCAACAUGAACACAGCUCACUGCAGCAAUGAAGUCAUAAAAUCAUAAAUAAUAGCAUUGUGUUUUGUGAGGAUUUGGGUUUAGUUAUCUUUUACAUAACUUGUCCAGAUAAUACUGCUAAUUAAUUUUCAUGCCAUCAGCCAUCUAAGGUUCUGCUUUUUUACUUGCUUGUGCACUUACGACAGAAUGUGCUGUUCCUCCAUUUAAUGGUGAUGCCUUUGUUCCUGCAGGUGUCCACAUAAAAUUGAACUAUGUCACAGAGAGUGGACUUCAUGCCAUCAUACUGGCACAUGUCAUAGGUGCAUAUCUGUAUGAAAGGUUCUGGCUUGACCAGAUUGUGACAUGGUUUGAAUUUGUCUGAUUUUAAGACAUUGCACUCGCUUUCAAUGAUUGGUUUAUUCUCAGCAGUACAAGGAGGAAGAUCAUCUUCUCUUGAAUCUGAAAAACAGCUGUAUGAAAGCAUAAACACAGUUAAAUUUGAGUUUCAAAGGCAUAUGUAAAACUGAGAUUGAGAGAGGUAAGUCUGUUGCUACUGAGAGGUAUUAAAUAAAUAGCCCUGGAGACUCUAAUCUUCUUUCUAGUAACGAGUGAAAGAGUAGGUAAUAGUAGUGCAAACUCUUACUACUUCAUCAAUGUGUUUUAGUUCUGCCCUUGGCUCUGCCCCAUCACCACGGUCCCGCUCAGCCAUCACAGGGCUGUGUCUGCCCAUGUUGACCCUCACUGGACCUGACCCUGACCAGUGGAUUGACUUUUCAACUUGACUUUGGACCUAACUUGUAACUGCAAACUUGUGUGGUGAUCUGGACUCUCAGUUGAACCUGGCUGCCCCUCCUGGUCUGCCCUGCUCACCUUGCUCAGGUACUGUGGGAUGGGCCCUAGCUGGCAAGGCCCCUGCCCUACAAGCCAUGUUAUCGUGCGCAGCUCCCCAUCCAUUAAGAGUGAAACCAGUCCUCACUGCUCCCCAAUACCAUCAUCCUGCUCUAGGUGUUUUCAGUGUAAAAUAAUCAUAGGGUAUGUCCACACUAUGGACUACCUCAAAGCCUAAUUCCCCAAGUGUGCAUAUCAAAAGGAUGGUUGUGGUUUCUUGCUGGCCUGUGCAGUAGUUUCCUAUGGUGAUGGCUUUUGUUUGUGCUUCACGCUGAAGAGGAGAGAAAUCUCAUAGGCACUACCUAUGUGUUACAGAGUAGCAAAAUGGCCAAAAACAUGUAAAAGGAGACUAUUUCCCAAAGGAAGACAAAAAAUAUGAAAACAAGUCAUGUUUACCCUGCAUCACUGUCUUCCUCCACUUUCCAGCUAUUUCCAAACUGUAUGUCAUUAACAAUUGUACCAUUGGGCAAGGUCAGAUCAUCUUCAGGUCUGUCAUUGAAAUUACCACACAUGCCAUGCACCUGCAAGUGAACAAGAUCAACAUAUUCUAAGUAUUAUCUGUGCUAUACCAGCUUCCCCAAGAACUACUCACUGACCGCAGAAGGAGGCGGCCAAAUCACUAACAAAAUCCCACGUUGUACCAAACACUUCGGACCCGUUCCCUACCAUCUGACUGCACCAGUGGAGAAAUAAAAUAGACACAGCAAUAAAUCUGUGGUCCCCUAAGGCUUCAAGGCACUUAAUUCUAUAACCACAGUGUGUUCCUUGUAGCUAACAGCCAGGUACUUAGCCAGCUGGGUUAUUUUCUGUAACUAUCCCUAGAACACAAGGAAAUUAAAAAAAAUAAAAAAAAAUAAAAAAAGACUUGUGUGUUACAAUACAGCUACAAAGAAAGAUACAAUAGUAAAACACAAGAAGAAAAGAAAUGAAAAGUGAAUAUACAAAGGAGCAGUUUUGAAACAGUGACUGUACGCUUACAUAUUAAAUCUUACCUUUGAGAAAUAAGAGUGUGGGAGGGUGAUUUCCAGAUGGUGAUUGCCAUCAUAUUUCACUACCAUACCAAAGUCAGUUUCCACUACUAUGUAUCUGCCAACAUUUCCAAUGGACACGCCUCGCAACCGAUUCUCCACUGGAGUGUGGACUCUCUCACUGUUCAACUGGAGACGAAAGUUAUUUUUGUCAGUACAGACACUCCUGUGAAGGCUUUUCUGCUCACAUUUUAUAUUUCUUGUAGAGCUGGAGAUCUUCCUAUGACAGUUCCAACUCCUUGGCUCUUCCACCACUGUACAUUCCAACUAUGGGCUGCAGACUUUUAGCUGAGGAGAGCUGGGCAGGACUCAGAGCCUAUGCUUUUACCAAGGAGGUAUAAAGGUCCCUCGUAUUGAGUAAGCUCCUACCCUCAUACAUGGUGGAUCUUUAGCCUCAGGGACUCACGUGGAUCCUCAGUGCUAUUCCAGACUAAUACAGUAUGACUUGCUGUUCUUCUGCUCACUCUGACAAGCUAUAGAUGAUUGAGUUGAGAUCAGCUAUUGAACAUGGGAGCCCAAUUCUUUAGUUCAGGCAAAAGUUCUCAUAUCUGGAGGCUCUGGGCUCUAUCUCCAAGAUACUACUGAUAUAACAGUAAACCCAAAAAUGAAGUCU